CUGAUUCAGGCCUCAACAGCAGAGUGAGGCACUGCCUUUACAUUUGCAAAUGAGAGUGGUAGAAUUUGCCAAAUCUCUGACUCUUCAUUCAUAUCCAUGCCACCUUGUUCUCUGCCAUGACUAGCUAAUACCUAAAUCUUCUAGACAAAAUGAUCCCAUUUUCUUCACCUGUGUUAUCCACCUAAAAUCAAAGGGAGACAAAGUCCAGGAAGCCCUGAAGAAGGUUGCAGAAAUUGAGGGUCUCCACCCAGUCCCACCGUCAGAUCGCAUCAACUCUGUUUGGAAUCUUGUCCAAGUUGGUACCCGUUGAAACCGUUUUUCUGACUGAUAUUUAAGUCUGUGAGGAAAGGCUUUGCUGUGUUUCCUCUGCAGAGAAAGUGCCCAAGUAACAGAGAUGACUCAAAAUCAUGUACAUUAGCAGUCAGAUCAGACAAACCAAAGCCUCACGGUGUGCCCACGUUGGAACUCCUUCUCCUAGCAUUUUUCUGGGUCAGCCUGGAUUGAGACACACUGACCUUUAGAACUUGAAUAAAAUGCCGUUUCACUCAUUGCCAUCUUCGAUAGUCGGUAGAAGGUGAUUGCAGUUCCAAGUGGUGUCACCAUUUUAGAGAGUGCAUUGUGAAGGGGAACUGAAGACACAUUUUGUAGAAGUUGAUGGAUUAAGAAAAAGAAGUUGCAUUUUAUUACCUAUCCUAAAGAUAGAAGGUGAUCUGAACAUUCUAAUAUCACUUGCCAAGACUGUUGGAGCAUGGGGAAGAGAGGUUCCUCCCAUGACUGACAGCUUAGAAGCCAGAGGUUAAGGGAGCCUAUCGAUCAAUGCACUCCACGCAAACAUGUCCCAGGAGCAGGAUAGAACAAGGUGUAAAAGGGUGGGACUCUAUCUAGAGGGGCAAAAUGAAGAUAUCGAACACAUUGACAUGAAUAAAAUAUGUACAAUGUCAUUAUAAUGUGUCAAAUUUGCACAGAAAAAUAAUCAUAAAAUAUUCAAUGUCAUAGUCAACUACUAGUGGUGUUUUAUGCCAGCUGCACUUUAAC
rnacentral:lncRNA from 1 species